GCAUAUCAAUAAGCGGAGGAAAAGAAACCAACAGGGAUUGCCUCAGUAACGGCGAGUGAAGCGGCAACAGCUCAAAUUUGAAAUCUGGCCUCUUUGGGGUCCGAGUUGUAAUUUGUAGAGGAUGUUUCGGGCACCGCUCCGGUUUAAAUUUCUUGGAACAGAAUGUCAAAGAGGGUGAGAACCCCGUCUUGGACCGGCAGUAGGGCCCAUGUGAAACUCCUUCGACGAGUCGAGUUGUUUGGGAAUGCAGCUCAAAAUGGGUGGUAAAUUUCAUCUAAAGCUAAAUAUUGGCCAGAGACCGAUAGCGCACAAGUAGAGUGAUCGAAAGAUGAAAAGCACUUUGAAAAGAGAGUUAAACAGUACGUGAAAUUGUUGAAAGGGAAGCGCUUGCAACCAGACUUGCGCGCGGCGGUUCCCCCUUCCUUUUGGUUGGGUUAUUCCGCCGUGUCCAGGCCAACAUCGGUUCUGGGGGUCGGUUAAAGGCCUGGGGAAUGUAUCUACCCUUCGGGCGUAGACUUAUAGCCCCGGGUGUCAUGCGACCUCCCGGGACCGAGGAACGCGCUUCGGCUCGGAUGUUGGCGUAAUGGUUGUCAGCGACCCGUCUUGAAACACGGACCAAGGAGUCUAACAUCUAUGCGAGUGUUUGGGUGUCAAACCCGGAACGCGGAAUGAAAGUGAACGGAGGUAGGAAGCUUCGGCUGCACUAUCGACCGAUCCUGAUGUCUUCGGAUGGAUUUGAGUAAGAGCAUAGCUGUUGGGACCCGAAAGAUGGUGAACUAUGCCUGAAUAGGGUGAAGCCAGAGGAAACUCUGGUGGAGGCUCGCAGCGGUUCUGACGUGCAAAUCGAUCGUCAAAUUGGGUAUAGGGCGAAAGACUAAUCGAACCAUCUGGUAGCUGGUCCUGCCGA
rnacentral:rRNA from 1 species